UUCGGUGGCGAUGGCGGAGGGGAUACACCCGUUCCCAUUCCGAACACGGAAGUUAAGCCCUCCUGCGCCGAUGGUACUGCACGGGUGACUGUGUGGGAGAGUAGGUCGCCGCCGGUU
rnacentral:rRNA from 1 species